GGCGUACGUUGUCUUUAUCUGGUUCAAUUGCACCAUGAGAUGUUAUGACUUCAUCUGAACAGGGAGAGAAAGAGAAAAAAGAAAGGCAAAAAGCGAGAAUAUUAAAUGACAAAGUAUUCUAACCAUCCAAAGUGGUCAGUGACAUAAGCAAAAUCUGACUUAGGGCCCUCGGGUUUCAGAUAAUCUUUAAAAAGAUGCUGUUAUAUCAAGCGCCUCUGGACUGAAACAGGAAAGCUAGGCAGUGGUGUGAAAUCAUUGCUGUUUCACCAAUUAUUUUUCUUUUCUUUUUUCUUUUGAGACGGGGUCUCACUCUGUCGCCAAGGCUGGAGUGCAGUGGUGCAAUCAUGGCUCACUGAAGCCUUCAACUCCUGGGCUCAAGCGAUCCUCUCUCCUCAGCCUCCCAGGUAGCUGGGACUAGAGUUGUACAACACAGUGCCCGGCUAAUUGUAAAUUUUUUUUGUAGAGACGGAGUCUCAUUAUGUUGCCCAAGCUGAUCUCAAACUCCUGGGUUCAAGUGAUCCUCCCACCUCAGCCUCCCAAAGUGCUGGGAUUGUAGGUGUGAGCCACCACAGCUGGCCUAUUUUGCCAAUUAAAUGAAAGGAGAAAUCCUUUGUCAUCCAGUGACAAAGAUGACAUUACAAAACAACAGUGAUUCCGAGUCUCAAGGCCUACAAUGCAGCCUUAUCUUACACACUGUCAUAAGCAAUGUAGGUUUCAUUCAACAGCCUUGGGAGGUGUGUUCUUUUUACUGCAUUUCCACAAACUGGGAGAGGAAAGGGCUGCGGUGACCUCUGCCCCUCCCAGCAAAACCUAAAAAUAAUUUCAAGGCUGGUUACUUCUCCCCAUCUAAACUGCUAGCAGCGUAGUUCAGGCCAUCACAAUUUCUAGUGAUUUCCACCAAGAAGAGUUUUCCAAGUCCUUCUCUGCAGAGCUUCCCAACAUGGUAGGACUAAAACCCAGGCUCUUCCCCAUGGCUGCUGCCUGCCUCGGCCCCUCUCCACACCCUCCCUGCCCCCUGCUCCCAGUGCUCUGGCCAUGAUGACCGGGGCAGGCCUCAGCUCAGGGCCUUCCUGGUGCCUUCCUUAGGCUUGAGGCCCUCUGGUCCUCAAGGGACGGGCCCCUUGGAAUUCCCGACAGAAGCUUACGCAUCACACGUCACUUUCUCCCAGCAUCUGUUGCUUAACUAAAGCCUUUCUCUACCUCAGUGUGGCCGCUCCUCCCCAGCCUGGCCACCUUUUGUCCUACUUUUCCACCACUGUUUCCAGGUGUGUGCCCUGGACUAUGCCUGGCAUUUAAUAACAGACACUCAACAGACACCUGCUCCAUGAGGGACCUUCAGGGCCUGGUCCUUCCAUCACAGAACCUUAUAUACAUUUUUAAUACUCUAAUGGGCUAGGUGCGGUGGCUCACACCUGUAACCCAGCACUUUGGGAGGCCAAGGCAGGUGGAUCACUUGAGCCCAGGAGUUCGAGACCAGCCCAAGCAACAUACUGAAACAGCGUCUUUACAAAAAAAUACAAAAAUUAGCCAGGUGUGGUGGUGUGCACUUGUGGUCCCAGAUACAUGGGAGGCUGACAUGGGAGGAUGGAUCACUUGAGCCCAGGAGGUGGAGGCUGCAGUGAGCUAUGAUCAUGCCACUGCACUCCAGCCUGGGUGAUAGAGUGAGACCCUAUCUCAAAAAUAAUAAUAAUACUAGUAAUGUUUCAAGUGUGGGGAAAUUGGAUGUUUUUAUUGGGAUAGAAAUUGGACUAAAAUAAUGGUUAUCAAAAGCCAAUGUCACUAUCUAAUAUUUAUAUUUUCAGAAGAAAAAUAUUAGUCUUGCAUAGAUUUCCAAUCUGUGGUAUGAAAU
rnacentral:lncRNA from 1 species